rnacentral:rRNA from 1 species
AUACGUAGGGAGCGAGCGUUGUCCGGAAUGAUUGGGCGUAAAGGGCGCGUAGGUGGUUUGUCGCGUCGUCUGUGAAAUUCCGGGGCUUAACUCCGGGCGUGCAGGCGAUACGGGCAUAACUUGAGUACUGUAGGGGAGACUGGAAUUCCUGGUGUAGCGGUGAAAUGCGCAGAUAUCAGGAGGAACACCGGUGGCGAAGGGGGGUCGCUGGGCAGUAACUGACGCUGAGGAGCGAAAGCAUGGGUAGCGAACAGGAUUAGAUACCCUGGUAGUCCAUGCCGUAAACGGUGGGCGCUAGGUGUAGGGGUCUUCCACGACUUCUGUGCCGUAGCUAACGCAUUAAGCGCCCCGCCUGGGGAGUACGGCCGCAAGGCUAAAACUCAAAUGAAUUGACGGGG